AACGAACGCUGGCGGCAGGCUUAACACAUGCAAGUCGAACGCACCGCAAGGUGAGUGGCAGACGGGUGAGUAACACGUGGGGAUCUGCCCAAUGGUACGGAAUAGCUCCGGGAAACUGGAAUUAAUACCGUAUGUGCCCUUCGGGGAAAGAUUUAUCGCCAUUGGAUGAACCCGCGUCGGAUUAGCUAGUUGGUGAGGUAAAGGCUCACCAAGGCGACGAUCCGUAGCUGGUCUGAGAGGAUGAUCAGCCACACUGGGACUGAGACACGGCCCAGACUCCUACGGGAGGCAGCAGUGGGGAAUAUUGGACAAUGGGCGCAAGCCUGAUCCAGCCAUGCCGCGUGAGUGAUGAAGGCCUUAGGGUUGUAAAGCUCUUUCGCCGACGAAGAUAAUGACGGUAGUCGGAGAAGAAGCCCCGGCUAACUUCGUGCCAGCCGCUGCGGUAAGAC
rnacentral:rRNA from 1 species